AUAAAAAUUCUUCUUGGGUCAACAGAAAAAAUCCUUGCCAGCAAAUUCUCUCCGGACACCAGAAUCCCGGCACCAACAGCAAUCGCAGUCACAUCUCGCCAAUAAAAGUGACCUGAUUUCCAAGAAAAACCCACCACCCUCUCCUCUUCCAUCAAGAAGUUUUGAGAAUAAGUUCAACAAUCCUAAUGUGGAAGAAAGUGACCUGACUCCCAGGAGUAAAGUGCCUUCUCCUCCCCCUCCAUCAAGAAACCAGACGUACCCACCAGACAGCCUCUAUCUGGAAGAAAGGGUCCUAGGAAGCCCUUCUCCAUCCAUCCCUUUCACUGGAGACAGUCAGACAGACAAUGAUAUCCUGGCAUUCCUCAAGGCCAGGCAAAGCUUACUGCAGAAAAAGGGUUUGGCAAACAAUUGAAUUUAUCAUGACAGCUCAGCAGCCCAACUGAAAAGCAAGGACAGAGUACAGAUAAAACUCCUUUCUUCUUUCAUCCUCUCUUUGGAUGUGUGGCCUACAUGGCUGGAACAACAUGUGACUUGAGCCCUAAUGGAGAGCCUUGUGUACCUGUAAGGAUGGUGUCCCAGCGGCACUCAGGAAUGGUGGGACAUGUUGAGGUGGGGGGCAGGAAGUAGAGAAAUGGAUCCAAAUAGAAGGUCAAAUCUUUGUACUGUAUGCUAAGGCUGUUGGCUGUGGCACCAGCAAGGUGGUUGAGUUUUAGAGUGUUUUGUGUUGGUUUUGUAUUUUUAAAAUAAUUUCCCUUUUUUUUAAAAUAAUGUGGGUCACAUGGCGAUCUUGUCUUUUGGAUAACAUGGAUAAUUUGAGAUUAUGAAAUGGCAAUUUUGCAAGAUGGAACCAGGAGAUUUGUGCUUUGCUCCCUUCUUCCCCCCACCCCAUUCCCACUAAGCCUAGGCCUAUCAAAUAAUAAAGAGAGAUAAAAAGCUCCA
ensembl:lncRNA